CAGAACAAUGUCGUGUCAUCAAGAUCUGUCGCUGAAAUUGAUGUCAUUGAGAGACAUUUCAAAGGGACUGUAUCGUUCAGAGUACGUCUAAAAGGGAAUGUUCUAUUUCUCCAUGGAAGUGGUUCACCUAUUAGAGACCUGGACAUAUUACAGAUUGUUAAAGAAGUUCAGCAAACUGGGAGAAGUAGUGCUAAUAAUGUUUACGUUGAACACAAAAAAGGACUCCCCAAGUACGUCUGCUGGGAUAUGGAGGUCGAGGCUGACAUUCUUUGUGAUUUUGAAAAAAACCUUAGAUUGAACUAAACACAUUGGACUAUUUUUUUUAUUGCAUUCUUUUUAUGAGAGAUUUAAUGUUGAAUUUAACAUUUAGUGUAUUCCCAGGAAGUCAUUUGCCUAGUCCUAAAUCUGUUAUUUUUUAUCCCCAGUCUAACAGAUUAAUGCACAAAAGAUUUUUUUUUU
rnacentral:sRNA from 1 species